rnacentral:tRNA from 1 species
ACUUAAACAGUUAUUUACAUUAAACUGUCGGUUUAAAGAGGCUUUAUACAAAGCUUUAAGUG